GGAUGAACGCUGGCGGCGUGCCUAAUACAUGCAAGUCGAGCGAACAGACGAGGCGCUUGCUCCUCUGACGUUCGCGGCGGACGGGUGAGUAACACGUGGAUAACCUACCUAUAAGACUGGGAUAACUUCGGGAAACCGGAGCUAAUACCGGAUAAUAUAUUGAACCGCAUGGUUCAAUAGUGAAAGACGGUUUUGCUGUCACUUAUAGAUGGAUCCGCGCCGCAUUAGCUAGUUGGUAAGGUAACGGCUUACCAAGGCAACGAUGCGUAGCCGACCUGAGGGGGGGAUCGGCAAAACGGGAACGAGAAACGGGUCCAGACGCCAAGGGGAGGAGGAAGUAGGGAAUCUUCCGAAAAGGGCGAAAGCGUGACGGAGAAAGGCCGCGUGAGGAAUGAAGGUUUUCGGAUCGAAAAACUCGGUUAUUAGGGAAAAACAAAUGUGUAAGUAACAAUGCACGUCUUGACGGUACCUAAUCAGAAAGCCACGGCUAACUACGUG
rnacentral:rRNA from 1 species